GUUCUUUUUCAGGUGGAAUGUGUAGGAGUGUAUCAGAAGUAGGUUCCUGGAACAUGUCUUCUGUUGUUACACAUGGUAAUGCCACAGGUUCAGCUGCUUCCAUAUCAUUUACUUUUCCUUUUUCAGCGUCAAGUUGGUGUAUAGCUGUAACAUAACAUGUCAUGUUUUUAAAAAAUAUCUUAUUACACUUAGUUUUUAAUUUACCUAUGCUAUUUGACGUUGACUUCUUUGCAUGUGAUGGGAUCAAUACAUUGGUGUUGUUAUUCGACAAAAAUGAUUGAUUGUCCAACUG